GACGAACGCUGGCGGCGUGCCUAAUACAUGCAAGUCGAACGCAGUGGGGACGGGUGAGUAACACGUGGGUAACCUCCCAUCAGAGGGGAUAACACUUGGAAAAAGGCGCUAAACUGAUACGGAGGGAUGGAACCGCGGUGCAUUAGCUAGUUGGUGAGGUAACGGCUCACCAAGGCCACGAUGCAUAGCGGACCUGAGAGGGUGAUCGGCAACACUGGAACUGAGACACGGCCCAGACUCCUACGGGAGGCAGCAGUAGGGAAUAUUCGGCAAUGGACGAAAGUCUGACCGAGCAACGCCGCGUGAGUGAAGAAGGUUUUCGGAUCGUAAAGCUCUGUUGUUAGAGAAGCGGUAUCUAACCAGAAAGCCACGGCUAACUACGUGCCAGCAGCCGCGGUAAUAC
rnacentral:rRNA from 1 species